rnacentral:rRNA from 1 species
CCCAUCCCGAACACGGUAGUUAAGCUUCUCUGCGCCAAUGGUAGUUGGGGGCUUCCCCCUGCGAGAGUAGGUCGCUGCCGGGC